AAGUGGAAAAGGAUGUGGCGUUGCCCAGACAACUAGGAUGUUGGCUUAGAAGCAGCCAUCAUUUAAAGAGUGCGUAAUAGCUCACUAGUCGAGUGACACUGCGCCGAAAAUGUACCGGGGCUAAACAUAUUACCGAAGCUGUGGAUUGUCCUUUGGACAAUGGUAGGAGAGCGUUCUAAGGGCGUUGAAGCAUGAUCGUAAGGACAUGUGGAGCGCUUAGAAGUGAGAAUGCCGGUGUGAGUAGCGAAAGACGGGUGAGAAUCCCGUCCACCGAUUGACUAAGGUUUCCAGAGGAAGGCUCGUCCGCUCUGGGUUAGUCGGGUCCUAAGCUGAGGCCGACAGGCGUAGGCGAUGGAUAACAGGUUGAUAUUCCUGUACCACCUAUAAUCGUUUUAAUCGAUGGGGGGACGCAGUAGGAUAGGCGAAGCGUGCGAUUGGAUUGCACGUCUAAGCAGUAAGGCUGAGUAUUAGGCAAAUCCGGUACUCAUUAAGGCUGAGCUGUGAUGGGGAGAAGACAUUGUGUCUUCGAGUCGUUGAUUUCACACUGCCGAGAAAAGCCUCUAGAUAGAAAAUAGGUGCCCGUACCGCAAACCGACACAGGUAGUCAAGAUGAGAAUUCUAAGGUGAGCGAGCGAACUCUCGUUAAGGAACUCGGCAAAAUGACCCCGUAACUUCGGGAGAAGGGGUGCUCUUUAGGGUUAACGCCCAGAAGAGCCGCAGUGAAUAGGCCCAAGCGACUGUUUAUCAAAAACACAGGUCUCUGCUAAACCGUAAGGUGAUGUAUAGGGGCUGACGCCUGCCCGGUGCUGGAAGGUUAAGAGGAGUGGUUAGCUUCUGCGAAGCUACGAAUCGAAGCCCCAGUAAACGGCGGCCGUAACUAUAACGGUCCUAAGGUAGCGAAAUUCCUUGUCGGGUAAGUUCCGACCCGCACGAAAGGCGUAACGAUUUGGGCACUGUCUCAACGAGAGACUCGGUGAAAUCAUAGUACCUGUGAAGAUGCAGGUUACCCGCGACAGGACGGAAAGACCCCGUGGAGCUUUACUGUAGCCUGAUAUUGAAAUUCGGCACAGCUUGUACAGGAUAGGUAGGAGCCUUUGAAACGUGAGCGCUAGCUUACGUGGAGGCGCUGGUGGGAUACUACCCUAGCUGUGUUGGCUUUCUAACCCGCACCACUUAUCGUGGUGGGAGACAGUGUCAGGCGGGCAGUUUGACUGGGGCGGUCGCCUCCUAAAAGGUAACGGAGGCGCUCAAAGGUUCCCUCAGAAUGGUUGGAAAUCAUUCAUAGAGUGUAAAGGCAUAAGGGAGCUUGACUGCGAGACCUACAAGUCGAGCAGGGUCGAAAGACGGACUUAGUGAUCCGGUGGUUCCGCAUGGAAGGGCCAUCGCUCAACGGAUAAAAGCUACCCCGGGGAUAACAGGCUUAUCUCCCCCAAGAGUUCACAUCGACGGGGAGGUUUGGCACCUCGAUGUCGGCUCAUCGCAUCCUGGGGCUGUAGUCGGUCCCAAGGGUUGGGCUGUUCGCCCAUUAAAGCGGUACGCGAGCUGGGUUCAGAACGUCGUGAGACAGUUCGGUCCCUAUCCGUCGUGGGCGUAGGAAAUUUGAGAGGAGCUGUCCUUAGUACGAGAGGACCGGGAUGGACAUACCUCUGGUGUACCAGUUGUCGUGCCAACGGCAUAGCUGGGUAGCUAUGUGUGGACGGGAUAAGUGCUGAAAG
rnacentral:rRNA from 1 species